UACGGGGGGGGCAAGCGUUGUUCGGAAUUACUGGGCGUAAAGGGCUCGUAGGCGGCCAACUAAGUCAGACGUGAAAUCCCUCGGCUUAACCGGGGAACUGCGUCUGAUACUGGAUGGCUUGAGUUCGGGAGAGGGAUGCGGAAUUCCAGGUGUAGCGGUGAAAUGCGUAGAUAUCUGGAGGAACACCGGUGGCGAAGGCGGCAUCCUGGACCGAUACUGACGCUGAUGAGCGAAAGCCAGGGGAGCAAACGGG
rnacentral:rRNA from 1 species